rnacentral:rRNA from 1 species
AUUGAACGCUGGCGGCGUGCUUAACACAUGCAAGUCGAUCGGUAACGCGGGGGCAACCCUGGCGACGAGAGGCGGACGGGUGAGGAACGCUUGGGAAUCUGCCCUUCAGCGGGGGACAACACGGGGAAACUCGUGCUAAUACCGCAUACGCUCCACGAAGGAAAGCCGGGGACCGCAAGGCCUGGCACUGAAGGAUGAGCCAAAGUCGGAUUAGCUAGUUGGCGGGGGAACGGCCCACCAAGGCGACGAUCCGUAGCUGGUCUGAGAGGACGAUCAGCCACACUGGGACUGAGACACGGCCCAGACUCCUACGGGAGGCAGCAGUGGGGAAUAUUGGACAAUGGGGGAAACCCUGAUCCAGCGACGCCGCGUGGGUGAAGAAGGCCUGCGGGUUGUAAAGCCCUUUCGGUAGGGACGAAAGCUCUCGACCUAACACGUCGGGAGGUUGACUUAACCUACAAAAGAAGCACCGGCUAACUCUGUGCCAGCAGCCGCCGUAAGAC